ACACAUGCAAGUCGAACGGUAACAGGUCUUCGGAUGCUGACGAGUGGCGAACGGGUGAGUAAUGUAUCGGAACGUGCCCAGUCGUGGGGGAUAACUACUCGAAAGAGUGGCUAAUACCGCAUACGACCUGAGGGUGAAAGCGGGGGAUCGCAAGACCUCGCGCGAUUGGAGCGGCCGAUAUCAGAUUAGGUAGUUGGUGGGGUAAAGGCUCACCAAGCCAACGAUCUGUAGCUGGUCUGAGAGGACGACCAGCCACACUGGGACUGAGACACGGCCCAGACUCCUACGGGAGGCAGCAGUGGGGAAUUUUGGACAAUGGGGGCAACCCUGAUCCAGCCAUGCCGCGUGCGGGAAGAAGGCCUUCGGGUUGUAAAGCUCUUUUACCAGGGAUGAUAAGACAGUACCGGAGAUAAGUCCGGCAA
rnacentral:rRNA from 1 species